rnacentral:rRNA from 4 species
UGUGAUUCAUGACUGGGGUGAAGUCGUAACAAGGUAACCGUAGGGGAACCUGCGGUUGGAUCACCUCCUUACCUUAAAGAAGC